UACGUAGGGGGCAAGCGUUGUCCGGAAUCAUUGGGCGUAAAGCGCGUGUAGGCGGCUCAGUAAGUCCGCUCUGAAAGCCCGGGGCUUAACCCCGGGAGGCGGGUGGAUACUGCUGAGCUUGAGUCCGGAAGAGGCGAGUGGAAUUCCCGGGUGUAGCGGUGAAAUGCGUAGAUAUCGUAAGGAAGACCAGUGGCGAAGGCGGGUCUCUGGACAGUUCCUGACGCUGAGGGCACGAAG
rnacentral:rRNA from 1 species